rnacentral:rRNA from 1 species
GAUGAACGCUGGCGGCGUGCCUAAUACAUGCAAGUCGAGCGAACGGACGAGAAGCUUGCUUCUCUGAUGUUAGCGGCGGACGGGUGAGUAACACGUGGAUAACCUACCUAUAAGACUGGGAUAACUUCGGGAAACCGGAGCUAAUACCGGAUAAUAUUUUGAACCGCAUGGUUCAAAAGUGAAAGACGGUCUUGCUGUCACUUAUAGAUGGAUCCGCGCUGCAUUAGCUAGUUGGUAAGGUAACGGCUUACCAAGGCAACGAUGCAUAGCCGACCUGAGAGGGUGAUCGGCCACACUGGAACUGAGACACGGUCCAGACUCCUACGGGAGGCAGCAGUAGGGAAUCUUCCGCAAUGGGCGAAAGCCUGACGGAGCAACGCCGCGUGAGUGAUGAAGGUCUUCGGAUCGUAAAACUCUGUUAUUAGGGAAGAACAUAUGUGUAAGUAACUGUGCACAUCUUGACGGUACCUAAUCAGAAAGCCACGGCUAACUACGUGCCAGCAGCCGCGGUAAUACGUAGGUGGCAAGCGUUAUCCGGAAUUAUUGGGCGUAAAGCGCGCGUAGGCGGUUUUUUAGUCUGAUGUGAAAGCCCACGGCUCUUCGUGGAGGGUCAUUGGAAACUGGAAAACUUGAGUGCAGAAGAGGAAAGUGGAAUUCCAUGUGUAGCGGUGAAGUGCGCAGAGAUAUGGAGGAACACCAGUGGCGAAGGCGACUUUCUGGUCUGUAACUGACGCUGAUGUGCGAAAGCGUGGGGAUCAAACAGGAUUAGAUACCCUGGUAGUCCACGCCGUAAACGAUGAGUGCUAAGUGUUAGGGGGUUUCCGCCCCUUAGUGCUGCAGCUAACGCAUUAAGCACUCCGCCUGGGGAGUACGACCGCAAGGUUGAAACUCAAAGGAAUUGACGGGGACCCGCACAAGCGGUGGAGCAUGUGGUUUAAUUCGAAGCAACGCGAAGAACCUUACCAAAUCUUGACAUCCUUUGACAACUCUAGAGAUAGAGCUUUCCCCUUCGGGGGACAAAGUGACAGGUGGUGCAUGGUUGUCGUCAGCUCGUGUCGUGAGAUGUUGGGUUAAGUCCCGCAACGAGCGCAACCCUUAAGCUUAGUUGCCAUCAUUAAGUUGGGCACUCUAAGUUGACUGCCGGUGACAAACCGGAGGAAGGUGGGGAUGACGUCAAAUCAUCAUGCCCCUUAUGAUUUGGGCUACACACGUGCUACAAUGGACAAUACAAAGGGCAGCGAAACCGCGAGGUCAAGCAAAUCCCAUAAAGUUGUUCUCAGUUCGGAUUGUAGUCUGCAACUCGACUACAUGAAGCUGGAAUCGCUAGUAAUCGUAGAUCAGCAUGCUACGGUGAAUACGUUCCGGGGUCU